AUGAGGAUAAUAAAUCUGGCUAAUGAGUUUCUUACUACAUAUGAGAGUCCCGUGAAGAUUCAGAAAAGUAGACCAACUAGGCUUACAGCUAAAAGAAGAAAAAUACCUGUAGAAGUUGGUGGUCAAGCUCCACCUGCAGCCACAAUAGCACCGGUUGCUUCCACAGUAGAUCCAGGUGCCUCCAACAACCACAACAGAUCCAUAGCUGCAGGUGCUUGUACAACAAGUCCAUCAACUCCAGCAACAACUUCUGUAGAGAGAGAGAGCCAAAAUUGCAAACAAAACAAAUUCUGCAAAGACAAAAGGAGCAGUAAGACCAAAACCAGCUGCAACUUUUGA
rnacentral:rRNA from 1 species